AAAUUGUUAGGUAUGCAUUCUUCUUUCUUACUAUUUUAUUUCAAUUUCUUCUACAUAGAUUUUGGUUUGUGAAUAUUUUGAUGUUUGUGAACAAAAUAUCGUCUCUGAUUCUAUAUCAAAGACAACCAUACGAAGCAAACUAUUUUAUUUCAAUUUCUUCUUCAUAGAUUUCCAUCUCAAUAUGGAAGACAACGAUACGAAGCAAACUGCAGAAACUCAUAACCACACUAAUCUUCGUCUCCGAUUCUAUGGGGUUUGAUUUCAAAAGAAAGAAGUUAAGAUUUACAUGUGGUGACCAUAUUUGCUAAUGGGGAGAGGGAAACUGGUGAGUGAAUUGCAAAGUCUAUGAAGAGAGUUGGAAAAGAAGCUGUAAUCACAAUUGUUGUAAGUUUUCAUGUGCUCAUCUUGCAAACAUCAUAACAGUUUGAGAACCGUUUGAAUAUGUUUUGAUCAAAGCAGUUUGUUUCUGUUUAUAUGGUAAAGGUUUAAGUGUUAUUCAUCUGUUCCUUCAAUGGUCUGGGUUGAU